rfam:Gossypium raimondii chromosome 11, whole genome shotgun sequence.
AUACCAUGGUGAGGGUACUUUCGCAAUAACUUUUUGAACCUCUCCCAUACCUCAUACAGAGAUUCAUCAUCAAGUUAUUGAAAUGUAGUGAUCUCAUUUCGAAGCUU